rnacentral:lncRNA from 1 species
UGAGACUCUUCUCACAAUAAGCUAGUAAUGGCACUCAGUGGAGUCAGCACUUUUUGAAUUAAACUGAUAAUUACUGUUCAGAGAUUACACUCUUAAAAUAUUUCACAAUAUUCUUAUUUUUUGUAAAUAAAACAUUUACAUAAAAAUGUUUUAAAAUGUAGUGUAACUACACAGCUUUUCACUAUGUUUCCAUACAUAACCGAGUACAGAUUAGAAAUAUAUUUAAAUCAUUCGCCGGUUAGGUUAUUACAGUAUCUGAAAAGCUCUCCUUUACCAGCAAAUGAUGCUGUGUUUGGCAAAGAAUACUAUUGGUAAUUCUUUAAACAAAACCCCAAACGUAUUUGUUUUCCCCUCUUUAAUUGUUAGAAACAGAAUUAUUUAAGAAAAAARUUUAGUAAAUACAUAUCCUAAACUAUUAAUAAUACUUCUACUAGUACACUAAAUGGAUUGCCUUGUGUGAUUUAUAUACAUUGAUGAACCCAGACUUAACUGCUCUAAUGGAUUGCCAGAAGACAAGUAUACAAAGCACUGCUGAAGUUUACCACAUUUUCUUUCAAGUGAUCUCUGACAAAGUUAAAAAAGUCCGUUUUGGCAUUGCUGCUUUUAGGACAUAUUCCAAGUACUUUACAUAACAACCAUCAUGAAUSAUCUAGAAAUCGGCAAGGGUGCUGAUAUAUUGCAUUCAUAGUAUCAAAAAMCAAAAGGAAAUUGAGCACUUUUUUUUUUAAAUAUAUAUAAAAACAGAGCUUGAGGUAUUUAACAACACUUUAUAAUGGAAAUUAAAACUUCCUCACUGCAUGUUGACUGCAACUGUUCAGGACUUGUUACAUGAAAUAUCACUCCUAUGUUACUAUUUGAAAAUAAAGAUCUACCUUUGCACAAGGCACAAAUAAAACUCAGUCUAACCUGUAUUGACUACAAAUUUGGUUAUGUACAGUCUAAGUACAGUACAAAGACUAAAGCAAUUGUCCUGCACUGAGACUUACAAAGUUAACAAGCAGGCGCUGCAGACACCUCAAGUCAGAUUCUUCUUCUCAACAGUGAAUCUUACAGCAAUGAGAUCAAAACCAGGUUUUGUUGAGACUAAGGAUAAUUCCUGGCCAUUUGGGCAAAGCACGUUUUAUCAGACAAAAGUGGCUGGGGUAAUUAUAAUAAAAUACGGUAUGCAUUUACUCAAUUUCUUUAAGUGGUCAUAUGAAAUCCUGUAAACACCAGAUUCCUUUAGAGUAAAAAAAAAAUCCUACAGUAUAGACAUAAUCAGGCUCAGUCACAAGGAGUGUGUCCCAAUCACCAUUUACCACAAUUUGAAGUUCAGCAGAUAAAGCCUCUCUCAAUUAAGAAUGUCACCGAGGUGAGAUUUUCAGUCUGCUUUUGCUAACUCAAAGGGAGCAAGAUAAGGUUCCGUAAAUUGUUUACAUCACCUUAACUAAUUCUAGAUCCAUUUUCCUCAGAACUAGAAGAGAUUUUACUUCAUCUCAAAAUCAUAGUAUGAAUUAUUUUGCAUUCAGCAGAGGGACAGGGACAAAAUGAACAAAAAAAUAUUCAAAUUUCUAGUUUAUGCACAAAUACUAUGAUUUCCCAAGUCAUUAAAUGUUUGAUUCUCUGACAGACAASAGUUUAGAAAAGGGAAUUAAAUUCCUUAGGGAAAUAGCAGCAACAUUAAACUAAAGAAUAUAAAACAUUCCUUUUUCCUUUCAAGAUAAAAUGCAAAAUAGUCAACAUGGCCUAAAAACAUGCCAAAACAUUUCAUUUAACUUUUUGUAUGUUGACAAGAGUACUAUACAGAUAGCGAAACAUUUUCAUGUGGCCUUUGUAAAAUGUCUUUCUAACUUGUGUGAAUAUAGCUAGUGUGAUAUGACUAAUUUCUUAGAAAACACAUACACUCGUGAAAGGCUAUGUUAAACUGAACAUGUUUGUUACAGGACAUGUUCAAAACACUACUR